UACGUAGGUGGCGAGCGUUGUCCGGAUUUACUGGGCGUAAAGGGAGCGUAGGCGGACUUUUAAGUGAGAUGUGAAAUACCCGGGCUCAACUUGGGUGCUGCAUUUCAAACUGGAAGUCUAGAGUGCAGGAGAGGAGAAUGGAAUUCCUAGUGUAGCGGUGAAAUGCGUAGAGAUUAGGAAGAACACCAGUGGCGAAGGCGAUUCUCUGGACUGUAACUGACGCUGAGGCGCGAAAGCGUGGGGAGCAAACAGGAUUAGAUACCCCU
rnacentral:rRNA from 1 species